UGGCUCUUCUUCCUCCUUGUGACCUUGGCGUUACCUCAUGUUGGGAAUGGAAGCACCAACUGCGAUGCAGUCUUGAUUGCAUCGCUAGUCCAGGAACAAUGCGAUGGCGAGCCAGUGACAGGCUCAUGCUGUGAGGUGCUCAGGACAAUCAUUACACCCUCGAGGGGCAAACUGCCAUGUCUCAAAAUGGUUCUUGACCAGCCUGAGGUUAAGUAUUCGGGAUUCACCAGAGGGCUCCUGCUGGACAUGGCCAAGUCAUGCACUGCAUCAAGGGCCCCUCCCCCAGCUGACGUAACAGCAGGUUCUGUUGGCCCCAAGGACAGGGUUGUGGAUGUGCAUGAUCCAGCAGAUUCUCCCCGCCCCAAAGACAGGGACGUGGACAUGGACGCACACAGGAGCUAAGCAUGAGGAAAGCCAAGGGGGUGCCGAUGUGCCUAGGGACAAGGGUUAUGUAACAAGAAUACUAGGCCCAUAAGGGUUUCUUUUUUCGGAAUUUUUAAGUUUCUUUUUCACAGUUUCAUGAU